UUAAUAGAAGCCAAAACCCCCGGAGGCCAUUCACUGUUAAUGAAUGAACUGAGACAUUCCUAUUAAA
rnacentral:tRNA from 1 species